rnacentral:lncRNA from 1 species
UAUCACUAGUCUUAGAUGAUUCAAGUGACACACAGAGUUUGCACUGUUGAUAGCUUUUAUAGACUCACAAUUGUGGAGAAAAAUAGUAUCUAAAUGAAUUUCAAAAUACAGGCAUAUUUUCUGUUUCUGUGGUUAAUCUGAAAUAGAUUACUGGAAAUUAUUUAUAGGGAAAAGAAAAGCAAACUUCCAAAUGUGGAGGAAGGGCAUUACCUGAGUUCCCUGUGAUUCCCAUCUGCCUACCCCCUCCUUGGGAAGCAUGUUAUUAACUCCUUUUUGAUAAUAAUCAUGGUUUUCUUUUUGCCUUUUUUUUCCUGUGUGGACUAUUUGCUCUUGUUUUGGUUUUCUUUGGCAUUAUAAAGCUCUAAUGAUGUAGAAGGUCAGUAACAAGAUGCACAUUAGACUCAGGGCAUGCUUAGUAUUCUGGGGCACUGCUUUAAUGCCAAAAAUGGUUAAAUAAUUGCACACAAUACUUAUGGCUCUUAAUAUGCACACCGUCAGAUCAGCAGUCUGAAGAACUUGUUAGUUUUUGCACAGUACUGCACAUUUGGGAGAAGUGUGAAGGAUUGUGAUUUUGAAGAAAUUCUUAAAAAUUUACCUAAGCAUGACGGUUGCAUGCAGUAUUUGUUUCAUACUUUAGCAGAUGUACAUAGGCCUGAUCAGAUUUCUAAACCGUCACCACCACUUAAGAAGCCAGUCUGCGGACUCAGGAAGCUGUAGGAAGAAUGAAUAUGUCUGUCUGUUUCUUUUCACUGGUUUGCUAGGGAUGAAUUGUUGCCUUACAGUAAUAAAAAUACUAGUCAGUAUCAUUAACAGAGAAACAGACCAUCAUUGUUUAUAUUUUCCUGUAACCUCAUCUGAAGAGUUAUUUUAAAUCCAUAAAGCCUUUUAGAGCUUACAGCCUAUUUAGCAGUUUUAUCAUUACUGUUGGCAAAGAAAAUCACUGAAGAGCUAAUAAAGGAUGUUCUUUCAUUGGGGGAUGGGGUGGGGGGAGAAAAUACUAUCUUUCAGCC